UACAGAGGGGGCAAGCGUUGUUCGGAAUUACUGGGCGUAAAGGGCGCGUAGGCGGCCUGUUAAGUCGGACGUGAAAUCCCUCGGCUCAACCGGGGAACUGCGUCCGAUACUGGCGGGCUUGAAUUCGGGAGAGGGAUGUGGAAUUCCAGGUGUAGCGGUGAGAUGCGUAGAUAUCUGGAGGAACACCGGUGGCGAAGGCGGCGUUCUGGACUGCAACUGACACUGAGGAACGAAAGCCAGGGGAGCAAACGGG
rnacentral:rRNA from 1 species